rnacentral:rRNA from 1 species
GACGGGGAGCACCACAACGGGUGGAGCUUGCGGUUUAAUUGGAUUCAACGCCGGAAUCUUACCGGGACCGACAGCAAUAUGAAGGCCAGGCUGAAGACUUUGCCGGAUUAGCUGAGAGGUGGUGCAUGGCCGUCGUCAGUUCGUACUGUGAAGCAUCCUGUUAAGUCAGGCAACGAGCGAGACCCACGCCCACAGUUGCCAGCGCACUCACUGGAGUGACGGGUACACUGUGGGGACCGCGCUGCUAAAGCGGAGGAAGGAAUGGGCAACGGUAGGUCAGUAUGCCCCGAAUAUCCCGGGCUACACGCGAGCUACAAUGGUCAGGACAAUGGGUAUCGACACCGAGAGGUGGAGGCAAUCUCCUAAACCUGUCCUUAGUUCGGAUUGUGGGCUGCAACUCGCCCACAUGAAGCUGGAAUCCGUAGUAAUCGCGUUUCAAAAUAGCGCGGUGAAUAUGUCCCUGCUCCUU